UUUUGAUGUUUUCCAACUCGAUGGAAACUUCCUUCAUAGUUGGUCUCCUCCUUCCAUCCCAGUCUAUGCAUCGUUGUGCAAGUUUAGCAACAGCAAUGACCUCCCCUUCAUUUGUUUGAUCUAUAAUUUGAGGAUCAAGAAUCGUUGGAAGAGAAUUCUCUUCCAUGGAUGUCUGAAACCUUUGUGCCAAUCCUAAAUAGACAUCUUCUCCUUCUCCUCUGGAAGGUAUGGGCUUUUGUCUUGUCAGGAGCUCAAGAAGAACCACCCCAAAGCUGUAAACGUCACUUUUGUCAGUAAUUUGGCUCGACCGGAAAUAUUCUGGAUCGAUGUAGCCGAAAGUCCCUUGGACUCGAGUAGUCAUGUGGGUUUUGUCAAUUGCAAUGGACAAUGAAGCUCCAAAGUCUGAUACUUUAGCUAUGUAUUCUUCGUCCAACAAUAUGUUGGUGGACUUGAUAUCCCUGUGAAAGACUGGAAUUGUAAGCCCCGAGUGUAGGUAUGCCAAUGCUCCUGCUACCUCUGUGGCUACUUUUAAUCUCAAAGUCCAAGUAAAAGGGAAGGAUUCAGCCUCAUUGUCGUUUUGAAUGAGGUUAAAUAGGGUUCCAUUAGGGAUAAAUUCAUAGACAAGCAGAGGAACUUCUGUCUCCAAGCAACAACCCAGAAGUUUUACCACAUUCCUGUGAUUAACUUGCGAAACAAUGACGACCUCGUUGAUGAACUGCUCCAACAGGCUUUCGUCAACCUUCGACUUCUUGAUUGCCACAAUUCUUCCAUCGGCUAGGAUCCCUUUAUAUACUGUACCUUGGCCACCUUGACCAACUAUUCGACUUUCGCUGAAUCCAUCAGUGGCCGCCUCCAAUUCCCUAGAAAUGAAAAUUCUAGUUUUUUCAAUAGCACCAUCUGCAGCAGAUAAUUGUUUCUCCAAUAGAAGACCUCCAUUUCGUUCAAAAUGGCCCUGCUUCUUCUUUUUAUUGCGUCUCUUCUGUAGCAGGACAAGGCCAGUAAACACUGCAAUUGUCACCCCAGCAGCCACAGCAAGCUUUGGAGUCCUUAUAUCCAAAAGACAUAACGUAACUAUGACUACUGCAAGGAUGAGAAGUAGCAGAAAGAAUAACUUGAGAGGUCUCAUUAUUGGGAAGUAGAGCAAAGUUUUAUCUUUCACUAGCAUAGGGAUAUUGUUGAACUGAUCAAAGAGCAUCAGCCUAAAUAGGUGAACCAAAAUGUUAUAAUUAAUCAAAUAUCGUAGGGGAAAUAGUCAAAUUACCUUGGAGAAGCCUACAUCAGUUGAGAUCAGAUGCGGGCUAUUUUUUUUACUAGCAACUUCCUCGAUGUUUCGCUGCAAUUGUUGGAUAUAUUCCUGGAUGCUCCACCGCAAUUGCUGGAUGUAAUCGACGACUUAAUGAACCAGUAUGGAACAAUCCACUUCCGUGGUCAAAACUUGUUUGGCCGGCCUCUUAGACUUUCUUCUGAUCUUAACUCUUUUAACCAUCUCUUUUCCUACACUAAUUACCAAUUAUAUUCAAGGUUAUUUUUAUGGUGUUUUUGUCAGAUCGUCGGCAUCACCAGUUGAAAUCUACCAAGUUGAAAUCCAUUAGUGUAAAUUGUACAUCAGAUGUAAUAAAAUUACAGGUUUCAAUUUGUGAGACCCCUUAUCCGUUUCUAUUGGGUUCUUCCUUGAAAGCUUAUAAUCAUAGUUGGCAAGACUCUGUGUAAAUGGUAUUAAAAAUGGAACAGGAUUCAGCUCUGACAAAUCGAUAUACUUACGGUAAUAUUUUCUUUGUUGAGAGAAACCUAUGACAAUAUUUGUAUGUAUUUCAAUAACAAAAUGCGUACAUCCACUAAGAUAGAUGUAUACGGAUAAGAAUACUACAUGCAUUAAACACUUAUUUGGAUGCAAGAUUGUUUGAAAUAUUAUUUGAAAUAAUUACUGUAACACUUUUUGAAAUAAUUAUUGUAAUACUUUUUUACGAUAUGAUAUGAUGUAUGCGAGGUAAAAAAUGAUUGGAAAUAAGGGUGAUAAUUGGGUCAGAAACGGGUUGGCUGGUCGGGUUGAGAUCCGGGUACAUGGUUCUCCAACUUCAGUUCUGGUCCUCCAAGAAGGCAGAGGCAGAGGUAUUGGAUGCAAAGCUCUGCAAAGCGUUACGUGCAAUUGAAAACUGUGUUGGCUGAGAUAGUAGGGAAUGCUUGCUUGACAGGAAUUGAUGCGACAGCAACCGAUUAUGAUAAGGAAUUGAUGUGUGUGUUGGUGCCACACAUUGAGGUGCAACCAACCAGACAAGAUCUCUGGACUGCCAAGUCGCGGUCUGAGGAGAGCAUUUCCACAGCCAGGAACAUCACUUGUUGCAUUCUCUCGAAACAAACAAGGGAGCUUCAGCAAGGGAACCUUCUGCAAUGGCCGGAUCAAAUGAAUCACUCCAGCAAACUUGGAGCAAGGGUAAGUUUAUGGUUACUGUUUGAUCACUCAGGGACACUUCCAGCACCUCAACAAUUUCUUGGGGACCUUUUCCAGGUUAAAGCACCCCAGAUACGGCUUUGAACAGUUGAUGGAAUCGCCAGAGACAUCAGUACAACUUAUGAUGAAUGCUUCAUUGAGAGCACAAUCUAGACCAAUUCCAACUGGGUAGGGAAUUGUCACUCCUCCAUAGGCAUCAAUGCAUCCUGGCUUCUCCACUGCAAAUCGUGUCGCCCCAGUGAUUGGACAAUGAGGUAAAGAAACAAAAAUAACAUACAGAUUAACAUCAAUUACUCGUACCAAAUUAUUUAUUUCUUAACUUCUGAAUAAAGUCUGAAAUGUUGCAAAUGCAGAAGGCUGUAGGAGCAUGGGGGAUUUUGUCGACUAUCAUAUUGGUGCAUUUAGAUGCAAAAGUCAGUGAGUCAAGUCAGGAACGUAGCCAUUAAAGCAAAGUAAAAGAAUGAUACAAGCAAUUAUUUGAGGAAUUUUCACUAAGCAGAAGAACUGAACUUAAUUGGUUUAAGAGAAUGCAUUUCUUCAAUUGCUAGGAAGGUGGCAGCAGGAUUUACAUAUUUUUACGUGAAAUGUCUACGUCCAACUUGUCGACAUCCAAUAGUCCAGACUGACUUGCUAAGCCAUUCUUGCCAGCGAAUUAUGACCUCAAGUCAAGUGAAACAUGAUUUAUCCAUGUAUUAAAAAGAGAAACUGCCUCCGAUCAUCCUAUUAAUUCUCAGUUUUUUUUUUUUUUUCGGGACAAGCCUCCCAUAUACGGGGAUAUACGGGGGAGGGAUAUCAGCCCUUAUUUUAUUAAAACAUAAGAUCUAUUAGGAAAUUAAAAAUUUGUUGCUGACUACCUCCAUGAUAGGGUGCAUUUUAGGGGGUAUUUUGGGCAUUAAUGCACUUUUAUUCGAUUAAAUAUUUUUAAUAAUUGAGUGGAUUUUACUGAUAUUUUGUUUUGGUGCCAAUUACAGGACUGAAUGCUAAAAAGUGCUUAAAAUCAAAAUUUAGAGAAUUUAUCGUGCAUGGGCCGCUUGAGAAGCUGAAGAAAUCUAAUUGGGCAAGAGUUAGUUUGUCGCCUGGCUUAGGUUUUCUGCAAGGCUAUGAUUUUAAAGGGAGAUGGGCCGCAGCUUUGAGAAAGGCAUCUGAGGAGACAAGAGCCUCCGUCCUUGACUUUGUAUUGCUUAUCAUCUUUUGUUGACCUUGGAAAGUGGAGAUCAUUGGAAUUGUCUUCCAAUCUUGCUUUGACCGAAAUUGAAGGGAGAAAAAAAGGGAAUCUCUCGUAUGUUUUGUGAGAGACCCUUAAGAGCCACUGUUGUUGACUAUUAUUAGGAGACUUGGUUUUUGUUUUUACUGGCAAUAGUUUUCAAAAAGAGUUCCUUAGCUUUCGAAAGGAGGGGGGGGGGGGGGCGACAGAUGAGGAGUUAGAGAGUCACUUAGGUUUCCCUUUCUUUAAGGAGGGGAGAACCGUGACUCCGAGAGAAAAACAACGGCCGCUUGACCCUCCCAUUCGCUUUGCUUUCAUUAGCUUCAGAGAAAAAGGCUUGGAACAAUCUUGUAAACUUCAGAUAGUUCUUUCGCAUGGUUGUUCUCCAUUCAUGGAGGACUAACAUCUUAAUUCUAGUCAAGGGGACAACUGAAGACUUAGUUCAACAAUUACUGUGAGAUCGAAAUUAUUUUAAUCGCUUCCUCAUUUAUUGAUAUUUAUGUGUUUCCUAUUUUUAAUUGUUAUAAUCCUUAUGUAUGAUUGAUUAGUGCGCAAUAAUUAAUUAUUCAUAUAGGUUAUUUUGUUAAAUAGAGGUAAUUGAAUCCGUAAUUGUUCGUUAUCUCUAUCUUAGUAGCAACUGGUGUAAUUGGAUUUAUGCCAGGGGAGCAUACGAUCUAGUUUAAACAAACCCCCGUAGCAUAUUUGUUAGUUAGGAUUGGACCUUUCUAAUUAUUAAUGCAAUCUAGAAAUUAAAUCCUACGGUCGUACCUAAGGUUGUUUUUGGGUUAGAGAAAUAGUUAACGGUCGUACCUUAACUAUCGAGAAAUUAAGGAAAGGUUGGUUGUUUAUCGCGUGCAUGACAACUAUAACUGGUCUAUUAAUAAAUAUUGGAAUUAUAUGUGAAUCGAUGAUCAGUUGCAUGAACCAUUUCUAAAGUGUAUCCUUGACUAGAGUUUCUCCAAUUAUUUCUUUUAAUUAAUUAUUCUCUGUAGUUAAUUUAUUUUUAGCAUUUAACCGUGAAAACCCCCACUUGUCUUGAUUCGAAAAGGAAUAAAUUUCUCUCCAGUCCCUGAGGAGACGACCCUGCUUACCACUGUCUACUAGUAGUGAAUUCAAUUAAAUAAUUAAUUCAGGUAUAUCGGAUUAAGCAAACUUUUUGGGAACAGGGUGAAUCAAGUAACCCAUUGCACACCUAGAGUCCCUGCUCUAGUACUCGAAUUGAUUAUUGAUUGCUUUGGAUGGUAGUUAGAUUUUAUUUAUUAUUAUUGCACAGGUUCCGCACCUGUCACUCCAAUAGAUGCCAAUGCAUCAACUGCACUAUUAGCUUCUCGAAGUAUAUGGAUAAUAAAGGCUGCCAAGAGACCUGUUAAAUGCUUGACAUGCACUAAAAUAAGACAUAUAGGCCAGUUUACUUGUGUAGGAGAAUUAAGUAGCUGAACCAAUGCUUGGGAAUCCACUUCCACUUGCACAUUUUAUUAAUUCUCUGAGUUGAAGUUUCUUAAAAUUGAGAAUGUAUGGCUACUUAAAGUCUUGAAUAUUAGCAUCUAUAAUUCCUAAGUGUCUGAGGUUAAACUUUCUGCAGAUUGAGAAACAGUAGAUAUUAUUGAGUCUUAUUCCAAAUGAAACGUGUACAGCAUCUGUUGUGGAUCUGUUUUUUCUCUAGUCAUGGAAUGGACUAACGUAGUCCCCAUUUCGUUUUACAAUUUAACUUACUUUCCACUUACUAGUAUUGUAAUUUGGAAACCAAACCCUUUAGCAGACUGAUUCGCUUGUUUAUUUGGGAUUUAUCCUACUAAUAUCAUGCAAAGAAUUUAAAUUAGGAGUAAUGCUCGUUGAAAUGCAGCGGAUCUUCUGUCCAACUUUAUGUGCUACACUCUGUUCUACUUUUAUUAUAUUGCUAUUUCUUCUCUAUAAACAUCAUAUUUUAGUUCUUUUUUUAUUUCCUUAAUAUUCAAUAACAAUUUGACAGGCAUGGGGUCCAUAGUAUAAACAAUGAAUAUUGGAGUUUUAUGUUCUAUAUCACGUUAAACUUGAAAGCAGAUGUUCAAAGGGAACCAAAUUACAAUUCUUGUAACUGUUUAAUAUCUUGUUUGUCAUAGCCUAAAGUAUAUUCAAAUUGGUUUCUUUUCAAUAUAACUUUAGUAAAUUAAACUCUCACAAACAAUCGAGAUGUCAGGAAUUAGAAGUUUUGAUUUCAAAUUCUGAUCUCCAGCUUUGCUUCUCAAUUUCUACCCUCCCCUACUAAAAGUUCCAUUUUUUUUUUAAAAUAUCCCAAGCAACUUGAAAAAGGGGAGAUUUGAGAGUUUGAGGUAGAAUUUUUUGAUUAACUGAUUAUUGACCUUACCAAAUAUCAAAUGAGCUGAAAAAAAUAUUUUCUUUUAAUGGUUCAACACUUGGGGGUCAUGACCUUAUGCCAGCCUAUCUCCACUGACUACAUGGAAUAUAUUUUUCUUUAAUAAGUUCAGUAGAUGGAUUCUCAUUUAUCAAACACUCAAAACAUCUGAAUGUAUUAAAAGAUUCAGUUUCAGCACUUUUUUAUAUUAUCAAAUAGACCCUAAGUCUUUCAAAUUGUAUUUUCAAAUCAUUUGAUGCACCAUGGAUGACAAACAUAUUGAGGCAAAGGAGAUCUCCAAUUUAUUAAUGCGAUAAUUGAUGUAAUCUUCCUUUUUUUUUUGUUUGGUGUCAAUUAGUAACUUUCUGCACCUAUAUUUUCUCCUAUACUAUGGAAGAAAGGAAUAGGGCCACUAGAACCAGAAGGGAUUUAGUUGCUUCCGCAACAGAUGGAUGCACUAAAGCACAUACUGAAUUUGAGAAGUCAGGAAUUCCUGAUAUUUAAUAUUGACAAAAGAAUUUGAUCUGUUAACUAAUGCCUCAGAAGGGACUUGAAAGCCCUCCUGGUGGCCAUGAGACCAAGGGGACCCUUUUUUUCUUUUUUCUUUUUUUAAAUACUAAAUCGCACUUCCUUUCUCCUCCCACCUACCCCUACCCAUUUCAAAAAAAAGAAAAAGAAAAAGACAGCCUAUGCUAAAAACACCUAUUGUGUACAUGGUAAAUAUCUUGACCCUGUUGUAGAUAACUUCUCUAUAAAUUUACAACUUUCACUCUAUGUUAUCAUCUUAUCUAUCUUUAUGCUACUACAUUGCAGCAGGGCAUCAAAGAUUGGGACUGCCUCACACAACUUUGACUAGUUUUAAAUUAACGGGUUAAUCUUGUAACUACAUUUUUGUAAAUAAUAUUUUACUUACAUCAUAAAUAUAUUUUUUAACAUACUUUUUUUACAUUCUCAACUAUCUUUUUAUCUCACAUAUAUCAUGUCACAAAAAGUGCUACAGUAUUUAUUUUAAAUAAUACUCUAUCCAAAUACACACAAAAUAUGUUGUGAUAUGGUCAAGGAAGUUAUCGGUAAAAAGAUAGACGCUAAAGCACAGUACAUUCUCCACAAAAAAAGGGGAGGAGGGGGGGGGGGGGGAAGAAAAUAACCACAGGAAGUUGUUCCUUGAACUCCAAGUUCACAGUGCAUACAAACAUUUUGUGGAAUUCUUCGGGGCGACUGCCCUUUACGCAACGGAUCUUCCGUCCCAUACCCCGUGUCACUCUCUGUCUCACUUUUUGUUAUAUUGUUAUUUCUCCUUCAUAAAUAUCAUGUUUUAAUUCUUUUUUGUUUCCUUAAGAUCCAAUAACUAUUAAUUCAAUAAUACACAAAAUUUAACAAACUCAAAAGAUCAAAAUGCAUAAAAAAUGAGAUUUUUUAUGAAUUUUCUGCUGUAUUUUUUAAUUUUCUAUUAUAUAUUGCUUUUUUGAAGCUGUUGUAUUUAUUUUUUAUUGAAUUAAUAGUUAUUGGAUCUUAAGGAAACAAAAAAGAACUAAAACAUGAUGUUUAUGAAGGAAAAAUAGUAAUAUAAUAAAAAGUGGGACAGAGAGUUCAAAAAAGCAAUAUAUAAUAGAAAAUUAAAAAAUACAGCAGAAAAUUCAUAAAAAAUCUCAUUUUUUAUGCAUUUUGAUUUUUUGAGUUUGUUAAAUUUUGUGUAUUAAUGAAUUAAUAGUUAUUGGAUUUUAAGAAAAUAAAAAAGAACUAAAACAUGAUAUUUAUGAAAGAGAUAUAGUAAUAUAAUAAAAAAAUUGAUAGAGAGUGACACGUGACGUGUGACGGAAGAUUCGUUGCACCUUUCCAGCCCUGUCAUUUUGCCGCCAGCGCUGAAUUAGAUUGUAUUGUUCAAUACCGCGUAGGCAUCUGAAGUUGACUUAACGUUCUCACUUCCAAUAGUCGAUGCGUCGUAAACAUCAAUCAUCACAACAGCUUCUUCGUCGGUGCAACUUGAACUUUGAUAAUUUUCUUGAAUAGUUAAACCCCCUCUUGACAUUUUGAUGUUUUCCAACUCGAUGGAAACUUCCUUCAUAGUUGGUCUCCUCCUUCCAUCCCAGUCUAUGCAUCGCUGUGCAAGUUUAGCAACAGCAAUGACCUCCCCUUCAUUUGUUUGAUCUAUAAUUUGAGGAUCAAGAAUCGUUGGAAGAGAAUUCUCUUCCAUGGAUGUCUGAAACCUUUGUGCCAAUCCUAAAUAGACAUCUUCUCCUUCUCCUCUGGAAGGUAUGGGCUUUUGUCUUGUCAGGAGCUCAAGAAGAACCACCCCAAAGCUGUAAACGUCACUUUUGUCAGUAAUUUGGCUCGACCGGAAAUAUUCUGGAUCGAUGUAGCCGAAAGUCCCUUGGACUCGAGUGGUCAUGUGGGUUUUGUCAAUUGCAAUGGACAAUGAAGCUCCAAAGUCUGAUACUUUAGCUAUGUAUUCUUCAUCCAACAAUAUGUUGGUGGACUUGAUAUCCCUGUGAAAGACUGGA
rnacentral:lncRNA from 1 species